GAUGUCAGUGUUUCCUUCUGAUUUGCUUAACAGUUUGCCACAUAAUUGAAGUAAGGAAGUAAUGAGAUAGAAGUCAUAUAGUCUAGCAGUAUUUCUCACUCUUCAGUCCUCUCUUCAUGACAGUAGACUUGUUUCACUCAGUGGAGCCCCAGUUAGUGAAAGAUAUGAUACCUGCAGUAAUAUUGAUGAUCCUGUUCUGGAGCACAGAUCUCCAGGCUCAAAGCGUCAGUCCACCAGCUGAACUCUCAGUCAGACUGGUGAAUGGGACCACUUCCUGUUCUGGGACAGUGGAAGCCUUCUACAGAGGAGAGUGGUCAGGUCUAUGUACUGGGUGGUGGAGCAUGAGAGAGGUUAAGGUUGUGUGUAGAGAGCUGGACUGUGGGAAUCCUGUAGCUGAAUCUAGAGGACCUCUGUUUGAAGAUGGAAGAAGAGGAGUCACACUAUAUAGUAGUUGCUAUGGAGAUGAGUCUUCUAUUAGACAGUGUGAUGUCAUAGGAGGACCUGGUGUCUGUGAUGGUGGAUAUUAUCAUCAUGUGACCUGUUCAGGUAAGAGACUGGUCAUAUUGAGAGAUUUAUUUAUACAAUAUUACCAUGUAUCAUGUUUUAUGUGUUUUUAUUUCAUUUAAAUAGAGGGAGAGAUGUCAGAUGUAUUUAAACAUUAUAUUUGUGUUUGUCAUAUUGGUUUAUGGGAGAUGUUCAUGGGCAGAUCAUUGUAGUUCAGAU